rnacentral:misc_RNA from 1 species
AACCUAGCACACCUGCGGUGUGUACCUGCGGAGGGAUCAUUACCUAGAGUUGUAGGCUUUGCCUGCUAUCUCUUACCCAUGUCUUUUGAGUACCUUACGUUUCCUCGGUGGGCUCGCCCACCGAUUGGACAAACUUAAACCCUUUGCAGUUGAAAUCAGCGUCUGAAAAAACUUAAUAGUUACAACUUUUAACAAUGGAUCU